rnacentral:rRNA from 1 species
UACAACAUAACAUUAAAGCACCAGAUCCCAUUAGAAUUCCAGAGUUAAGCGUGCUUGGGCUAAAGUAGUACUCGGAUGGGUGAUCACUCGAGAAGUCCCAAUGUUUUAC